GAUCUCUUGGUGUAGUUGGUUAUCACGUACGCCUCACACGCGUAAGGUCGCCAGUUCGAGCCUGGCAGAGAUCA